UGAAACAAGUGAUCUUAAAAAUAAUAGUAACAGAAGCCUUGUACAAUAUUGCAACAAUAUCUGAGUUUUCAAUGUGAUACUGUUACGUUAACUCUAUGCAUAUUUUGCCCGUGUAAAAUAAAGAGAAUGGUGAUUGCAGCGUAAGAUGUUAAAGUGAUCAAUAAUGAUGUACAACUUGUCCCGGAAAACCAAUAUUUAAUGAAAAUUAAUAAAAUCUUAACAAACCAAAGUAAACUGUUCAUAAUUCCAAAAUAUUUAAUUGAACAUAAAUUGAUUAUUAUCUUUAAAUAAGCCUUCUUAAUAAAUGAGUGUUUUAAAAUU